GAUGAAAGCUGGCGGCGCGCCUAACACAUGCAAGUCGAGCGAUUCUCUUCGGAGAAGAGCGGCGGACGGGUGAGUAACGCGUGGGUAACCUGCCCUGUACACACGGAUAACAUACCGAAAGGUAUGCUAAUACGAGAUAAUAUGCUUUUAUAGCAUGGUAGAAGUAUCAAAGCUUUUGCCGUACAGGAUGGACCCGCGUCUGAUUAGCUAGUUGGUAAGGUAACGGCUUACCAAGGAGACGAUAAGUAGCCUACCUGAGAGGGUGAUCGGCCACAUUGGAACUGAGACACGGUCCAAACUCCUACGGGAGGCAGCAGUGGGGAAUAUUGCACAAUGGGUGAAAGCCUGAUGCAGCAACGCCGCGUGAGCGAUGAAGGCCUUCGGGUCGUAAAGCUCUGUCCUCAAGGAAGAUAAUGACGGUACUUGAGGAGGAAGCCCCGGCUAACUACGUGCCAGCCGCCGCAGUAA
rnacentral:rRNA from 1 species